rnacentral:lncRNA from 11 species
ACGAAGUAAUCCUUAUUCACGACAAUGUUAGCCCGUACGUGGAAAAGGUUGUGAAAGUUGCUCUGCCAGAGCCUAGGUAGGAGUAGUGACUGUCCUAAUCCGUCGAGCUUAAAAUAUUUACUCGCGCUUGUUGGCUGAAGUUGUCUUGUAAUAGUGGAUAAAUGACUUAUCACCUCGAAGGAUCGGCUGAGGAGUUCCGCUGCUGGGUAAUAAUGAUUUGGCAGGGACGUUUGUUAGAAAUUGAAAGCGUGAAACUUUCUUGUUAUGACGUCGCACGUUAACGUCGGGAUUCCUAUUGCUUUCGUCGGCUGUGACGUGAAGACCUCCGUGACAAAAUUGCCAUUUCAGUAUACCUUUAUAUAUGCCUUUACCAAUUCCCAUUGCGGACUAACGCGUUUGUUUACUUUCAACUGUAAGAUAACGAAUUUCUCGAGGCAAUGAAAACAAGAAAUCAACGGGCAAGACCGAUUAAGGGGAUUACACUAAGCCAGUCGCGCUACGUAAUUUGCCUUUCUAGACGAGUAACUAUUACGUUCGCUUGUGUUUUACCCAUAGUCGGUCAAUUAAUGGUUGGUAACGUGAACAGAUACUGUAGAAAAUCAUUGAAGAAUGGCGCCAUCGUUUAACUGUAGACUGAAGGAUUGGGUUAAACUUGACCAUGUAGACGGUCAUCGGCUCAACCGGCAUUACUGUGGCGCAAAGAGGUUCCAAUGUGACAAACGACAACGGGAAAACUACACGUCGUGAAGUUUCUUAAUUUCUUGGAUAGAGCCACGUUUAACGACGUAAAGUUAGUCGCCAUACGCGUACAUACGAAGUGUCCCAAGUCGAUCGGUCAUCCGUAUAUUUUAGACCAGCUGAUAUCUUUGAGGGGGCAUGCGCCAUCGAGUGAAGUCGUCUACUUUGUAAUUUUCACAAGCGGAAAACAGCUAUUAUAAUCUGCUGUAGCUUAUCGAUGAUGUCACUCGAUCUGCGUACGCUAGUCUUCUACCGGAGAAGUAGACGCUGAACGAAGGUUCUGUCAAAAAACGGAUUCCCGACACGAUUCCGACACGUUUUGUAUCGGCAGGCCGGGUUGCGAUCAUUGAAGACGAAUUAACUGGUAGUAGAAGUUCUAGUGGGAAAUUGUUGAGCAAAUCCAGGUGAGGUACUAUUCUUGACGGGCGCAACGCGACGGGGAACAGGUUUUUUCGAUCCAUAAAAAAAGCUGCUUACGAUAUAGAUAUUGGUUCACUAGCUAGCAUCUUGCAAUAUGAAAACGAAACAAACACACCGACGCCCGCAGUAACUCUUGGAAACAGUCUACAAAACAGCGGUCGGCGCCCACUGUUCAAUGCCAUAUGAAUUUAGAUGUCGUAUACCGAUGUAACAAUGCACACACCGUUAUGAUGAGUUACCGUAAAGCGGGUUGGGCACGAAGGGGGUAGUACUAUUUUGUAAAGAAAUAUUGUUAAACGAAAAAGUAAAGUGAUCACUUUGAAGCUGUGGUCAGAAACGACAAAUAAAAAAAAUCAGCACUCUGUUAGAGUGUUUCGAUUUGGUAAGGAAUAUCCUAGGUCGGUAGCGAG